rnacentral:rRNA from 1 species
CCUCCAAGGCUAAAUACUCCUGACUGACCGAUAGUGAACCAGUACCGUGAGGGAAAGGCGAAAAGAACCCCGGCGAGGGGAGUGAAAAAGAACCUGAAACCGUGUACGUACAAGCAGUGGGAGCACCCUUUAGGGUGUGACUGCGUACCUUUUGUAUAAUGGGUCAGCGACUUAUAUUCUGUAGCAAGGUUAACCGUAUAGGGGAGCCGCAGGGAAACCGAGUCUUAACUGGGCGUUAAGUUGCAGGGUAUAGACCCGA